rnacentral:rRNA from 1 species
GAAAGUAAGCAAGGGCAGACGGUGGAUGCCUUGGCUCUCGGAGGCGACGAAGGACGUGAUAAGCUGCGAAAAGCUCGGGGGAGGCGCAAAUAGCCCUUGAUCCCGGGAUAUCCGAAUGGGGCAACCCGGCAGGCUGAAGGCCUGUCAUCCCGUAAGGGAGGCGAACGUGGGGAACUGAAACAUCUAAGUACCCAUAGGAGGAGAAAAUAAACAAUGAUUCCGUAAGUAGUGGCGAGCGAACACGGAAGAGCCCAAACCCAUGUCGUCUAGGCGACACGGGGGUUGUAGGACCACGACGUGGCAAGAUAGAGUCAAGUGGAACGCCUUGGAAAAGGCGGUCAUAGAGGGUGAAAACCCCGUACACGACUGACGAUUGAAGCCUAGUGGCAUCCUGAGUAGCGCGGGGCACGAGAAAUCUUGCGUGAAACAGCGGGGCCCAUCCCGUAAGGCUAAAUACUCCCGAGAGACCGAUAGCGAACCAGUACCGUGAGGGAAAGGUGAAAAGAACCCCGAGCAGGGGAGUGAAAUAGACCCUGAACCCGUCUGCCUACAAGCGGUCGGAGCAUCGUCAAGAUGUGACGGCGUGCCUUUUGCAUAAUGAACCUACGAGUUACCUUCCCCGGCAAGGUUAAGUACCUAAGGUACGGAGCCGAAGCGAAAGCGAGUCUGAAGAGGGCGGCCAGUCGGGGGGGGUAGACGCGAAACCGAGUGAUCUACCCUUGGCCAGGUUGAAGGUUGGGUAACACCAACUGGAGGACCGGAUGGGUAAGCGUUGAAAAGCUUUCCAAUGAGCUGAGGGUAGGGGUGAAAGGCUAAUCAAACUCGGAGAUAGCUCGUACUCCCCGAAAUGCAUUUAGGUGCAGCCUCUUUAUAGUAUAUCGUGAGGUAGAGCGACUGAUUGGAUGCGAGGGCUUCACCGCCUAUCAAGUCCAGAUAAACUCCGAAUGCGCGAUAUAUAUUUACAGGGAGUGAGGGCGCGGGUGCUAAGGUCCGUGUCCGAGAGGAGAAGAAUCCAGACCACCGGCUAAGGCCCCCAAAUGAUCGUUGAGUUGAACUAACGAGGUCGGAUCGCAGAGACAGCUAGGAUGUUGGCUUGGAAGCAGCCAUUCAUUUAAAGAGUGCGUAACAGCUCACUAGUCGAGCGAUCUGGCGUGGAUAAUAAUCGGGCAUAAACGAUCUGCCGAAGCCGUGGAUGUCGUAAGACAUGGUAGGGGAGCAUUCCAUGCGGCGUCGAAGAUGAGGGAUGACCCUUGUUGGAGCGCAUGGAAAAGCAAAUGUAGGUAUGAGUAACGAUAAGGGGGGCGAGAAACCCCCCCGCCGAAAGACCAAGGUUUCCUGAUCAACGCUAAUCGGAUCAGGGUGAGUCGGGACCUAAGGCAAAGCCGAACGGCGCCGCCGAUGGAAGAAUGGGUUAAUAUUCCCAUACUGCCUCAUGGAGUGACGUGGAGACGGAGAAGUGACAGUCCUGCCGGCUGACGGAAUAGCCGGUUGAAGGGUGUAGAUAUUGAUUCCCGUAGGCAAAUCCGCGGGGAGAGUCGAACCUGACAGUAUACCGAGUACUUGUACGAGGUAAUAUGGACGUAACCAUGCUCCCAAGAAAAUCCGCUAAACUUAUCCAUGCGGCACCCGUACCGUAAACGGACACACGUGGUCGGGUUGAGAAUACUGAGGCGCUCGAGUGACUCACGGUUAAGGAACUAGGCAAAUUGACCCUGUAACUUCGGGAUAAAGGGUCCUCGUCGUAAGGCGAGGCGCAGAGAAUAGGUCCAGGCAACUGUUUAACAAAAACACAUGGCUGUGCUAAAUGGAAACAUGACGUAUACAGCCUGACACCUGCCCGGUGCUGGAAGGUUAAGAGGAGAUGUCAUCGCAAGAGAAGCGUUGAAUUGAAGCCCCAGUAAACGGCGGCCGUAACUAUAACGGUCCUAAGGUAGCGAAAUUCCUUGUC